rnacentral:hammerhead_ribozyme from 1 species
GUACUGAUGAAGAGUUCCAAAUUAAGUGGACGAAACAGCUGUCCAAUAC